CCCUUAGAUGUUCUGGGCCGCACGCGCGCUACACUGACGAAGUCAGCGAGCAUGUCCUACGCCGACAGGUGCGGGGAAUCUUGUCAAACUUCGUCGUGAUGGGGAUUGAUUAUUGAAAUUCUUGAUCAUCAACGAGGAAUUCCUAGUAAGCGCAAGUCAGCAGCUUGCGUUGAUUACGUCCCUGCCCUUUGUACACACCGCCCGUCGCUCCUACCGAUUGAAUGCUCAGGUGAGCCAUUCGGACUUUCAUCAUGCUGGUUUCCAGUUUUGAUGAAGGAAAGUCUUGUGAACCUUAUCAUUUAGAGGAAGGAGAAGUCGUAACA
rnacentral:rRNA from 1 species